rnacentral:tRNA from 1 species
UGGCUCAGUGGUAGAGUGCUUGCCUCGCAUGCAUGAGGUCCUGGGUUCAAUUCCUCAG